CUGGGGUUAUUAGGGCCUCUCACUAGUGCGGAUCUAAUGGAGUCGAGCGGGGAGGGGCUCAAGGUUGCCUACCAGGGCUUCCCUGGAGCGUACAGCGAGGCUGCAGCAAAGAAGGCCUAUCCAAAUUGCCAGACAGUGCCCUGCGAGCACUUUGAUACUGCAUUUCAGGCUGUUCAAAACUGGAUAGUUGAUAGGGCGGUACUGCCACUUGAGAAUACUCUGGGUGGUAGUAUACAUCGGAAUUAUGACCUUUUACUUCGGCAUGAGCUGCACAUAGUUGGAGAGGUUCGCCUUGCAGUUCGGCAUUGCUUGUUAGCCAAUCGUGGAGUGAAGAUCGGAAACCUAAGAAAUGUCAUCAGUCAUCCCCAGGCUCUUGCGCAAUGUGAGCAUACGCUGACAGAGUUAGGAAUUGAACAUAGACAAGCUGUUGAUGACACUGCUGGUGCAGCAAAGUUAGUCGCAGAACAAAUGCUCCAAGAUACUGGUGCUGUUGCCAGUUCAUUAGCUGCUGAACUUUAUGGACUGGAUAUUCUUGCUGAAAAUAUUCAGGACGAAAAAGUCAAUGUCACCCGUUUUAUGAUGCUUGCUCGGGAACCUAUUAUACCUCGGGUUGAUAAACCAUUCAAGACUAGUAUUGUGUUUUCACUUGAAGAAGGACCUGGACAGCUCUUCAAGGCACUUGCAGUUUUUGCACUGAGGGAAAUCAAUCUCACCAAGAUAGAAAGCCGUCCACACAAGAAAAGGCCUUUUCGUGUAGCUGAUGAUGCUUUCUCCACACGCGUCAAGUACUUCGACUACCUGUUUUAUGUCGACCUUGAGGCGUCUAUGGCUGAUCCAAAAACUCAGAAUGCUCUCAGAAAUUUGGAGGAGUUUGCGACCUUUUUAAGAGUCCUGGGGAGCUAUCCUACAGACGUGAGCGAAGCUUGA
rnacentral:rRNA from 1 species